UGGGGAAUUUUGGACAAUGGGGGAAACCCUGAUCCAGCCAUCCCGCGUGUGCGAUGAAGGCCUUCGGGUUGUAAAGCACUUUUGGCAGGAAAGAAACGUCGUGGGUUAAUACCCCGCGAAACUGACGGUACCUGCAGAAUAAGCACCGGCUAACUACGUGCCAGCAGCCGCGGUAAUACGUAGGGUGCAAGCGUUAAUCGGAAUUACUGGGCGUAAAGCGUGCGCAGGCGGUUCGGAAAGAAAGAUGUGAAAUCCCAGAGCUUAACUUUGGAACUGCAUUUUUAACUACCGGGCUAGAGUGUGUCAGAGGGAGGUGGAAUUCCGCGUGUAGCAGUGAAAUGCGUAGAUAUGCGGAGGAACACCGAUGGCGAAGGCAGCCUCCUGGGAUAACACUGACGCUCAUGCACGAAAGCGUGGGGAGCAAACAGGAUUAGAUACCCUGGUAGUCCACGCCCUAAACGAUGUCAACUAGCUGUUGGGGUCUUCGGACCUUGGUAGCGCAGCUAACGCGUGAAGUUGACCGCCUGGGGAGUACGGUCGCAAG
rnacentral:rRNA from 1 species